rnacentral:lncRNA from 1 species
GGGUCAAGUAGCACCGAGUUUUCUACUCAAGCAUAAGAAAACAGAUCUAAGAAAUAUGGAUGUCUCCAGAUACCUGACUUGAAAUGAAAGCCAAAGCCAAUUCUGGUUCACAACUCUUUCCAUGAGAUUACACUAAAAUCUUUAAAAUCAAGCAGAACUUCAGCUCAAGUGUUGAAAAAAUAUUAGCAUAUGUAAGUAAUGGCUAUCACAAAACGCAUAGAGGAUGGUUAAAGUAAUAUGCGCAGGGAUUUCCUGUAUAAGAAAAUAAGAGAUACCUUAAGCAUCAAGGUCCAAUAUUGGAGCAC